GUCAGGAUGGCCGAGCGGUCCAAGGCGCUGCGUUCAGGUCGCAGUCCGGUCUUCCGGGCGUGGGAUCGAAUCCCACUUCUGACA
rnacentral:tRNA from 1 species